UACGUAGGUGGCAAGCGUUAUCCGGAUUUAUUGGGCGUAAAGGGAACGCAGGCGGUCUUUUAAGUCUGAUGUGAAAGCCUUCGGCUUAACCGGAGUAGUGUAUUGGAAACUGGGAGACUUGAGUGCAGAAGAGGAGAGUGGAACUCCAUGUGUAGCGGUGAAAUGCGUAGAUAUAUGGAAGAACACCAGUGGCGAAAGCGGCUCUCUGGUCUGUAACUGACGCUGAGGUUCGAAAGCGUGGGUAGCAAACAGG
rnacentral:rRNA from 1 species